rnacentral:tRNA from 1 species
GGACCUGCAGGCCAUGCUUGCAGGAGGCGCAUAGGGCACCAGCCUCCUAAGUUGGUAAUCGCCGGUUCGAAUCCGGCCGGGCCCGCCA